rnacentral:rRNA from 1 species
GCGGCGGACGGGUGAGUAAUGCCUAGGAAUCUGCCUGGUAGUGGGGGAUAACGUUCGGAAACGGACGCUAAUACCGCAUACGUCCUACGGGAGAAAGCAGGGGACCUUCGGGCCUUGCGCUAUCAGAUGAGCCUAGGUCGGAUUAGCUAGUUGGUGGGGUAAUGGCUCACCAAGGCGACGAUCCGUAACUGGUCUGAGAGGAUGAUCAGUCACACUGGAACUGAGACACGGUCCAGACUCCUACGGGAGGCAGCAGUGGGGAAUAUUGGACAAUGGGCGAAAGCCUGAUCCAGCCAUGCCGCGUGUGUGAAGAAGGUCUUCGGAUUGUAAAGCACUUUAAGUUGGGAGGAAGGGCCGUUACCUAAUACGUGAUGGUUUUGACGUUACCGACAGAAUAAGCACCGGCUAACUCUGUGCCAGCAGCCGCGGUAAUACAGAGGGUGCAAGCGUUUAUCGGAAUUACUGGGCGUAAAGCGCGCGUAGGUGGUUUGUUAAGUUGGAUGUGAAAUCCCCGGGCUCAACCUGGGAACUGCAUUCAAAACUGACUGACUAGAGUA